rnacentral:tRNA from 1 species
GGUUGUAUAGUGUAGCGGUUAGCACGUGGGAUUUUGACACAUCAAAAUCAUUUAUUUCCCGAAUCCCCGGUUCGAGCCCGGGUACGACCU